ensembl:snRNA RNU6-1094P RNA, U6 small nuclear 1094, pseudogene
GUGCUCGCUUCGGCAGCACAUAUACUAAAAUUGGAAUAAUACAGAGAUUAGCAUGGCCCCUGUGCAAGGAUGACAUGCAAAUUCGUGAAGUGUUCCAUUAAAAA